rnacentral:rRNA from 1 species
GUCCACGCCCUAAACGGUGGGUACUAGGUGUAGGGCUCGUAAGGGUUCUGUGCCGAAGGGAAACCAUUAAGUACCCCGCCUGGGGAGUACGGCCGCAAGGUUGAAACUCAAAGGAAUUGACGGGGGCCCGCACAAGCGGUGGAGCAUGUGGUUUAAUUCGACGCAACGCGAAGAACCUUACCUGGGCUUGACAUGUUAGUGGUAAAGACCCGAAAGGGCGAUGAACCCCGCAAGGGGGUAGCUAACACAGGUGCUGCAUGGCUGUCGU